CGAGGGCAGGGAAGUGACGGGGAUCGGACCCGCGCCCCACGCCCGGCCCGAGGGGAGGGAGUGACGGGGAUCGGACCCGCGCCCCACGCCGGCCCGAGGGCAGGGAAUGACGGGGAUCAGACCCGCGCCCCACGCCGGCCCGAGGGCAUGGAAUGACGGGGAUCGGACCCGCGCCCCACGCCGGCCCGAGGGCAGGGAAUGACGGGGAUCAGACCCGUGCCCCACGCCCGGCCCGAGGGGGGGAGUGACGGGGAUCAGACCCGUGCCCCACGCCGGCCCGAGGGGGGGA